GACGAACGCUGGCGGCGUGCCUAAUACAUGCAAGUCGAACGAGAGCGACCGGUGCUUGCACUGGUCAAUCUAGUGGCGAACGGGUGAGUAACACGUGGGUAACCUACCCAUCAGAGGGGGAUAACAUCCGGAAACGGAUGCUAAAACCGCAUAGGUCUUCGAGCCGCAUGGCUUGAAGAGGAAAAGAGGCGCAAGCUUCUGCUGAUGGAUGGACCCGCGGUGCAUUAGCUAGUUGGUGAGGUAACGGCUCACCAAGGCCGUGAUGCAUAGCCGACCUGAGAGGGUGAUCGGCCACAUUGGGACUGAGACACGGCCCAAACUCCUACGGGAGGCAGCAGUAGGGAAUCUUCCGCAAUGGACGCAAGUCUGACGGAGCAACGCCGCGUGAGUGAAGAAGGUUUUCGGAUCGUAAAACUCUGUUGUUAGAGAAGAACAAGUGCUAGAGUAACUGUUAGCGCCUUGACGGUAUCUAACCAGAAAGCCACGGCUAACUACGUG
rnacentral:rRNA from 1 species